ensembl:snRNA
GUAAAAAAAAAAACAAAAAAAACUUUACAGAAACAUCCUUGAUAAGGAUGGAAGAGGCCCCAGUGGCCUUUACAACACAUAUGUGGUUAAUCCAUUGCCACCUACUCUGUGCACCAUCUAACCAUGAUUUAAC